rnacentral:rRNA from 1 species
GAGGAAUAUCGGUCAAUGGGCGAAAGCCUGAACCAGCAACGCCGCGUGAGGGAUGAAGGCCUUCGGGUCGUAAACCUCUUUUCUGGGAGAAGAGACAAGGACGGUAUCCCAGGAAUAAGUCUCGGCUAACUACGUGCCAGCAGCCGCGGUAAAACGUAGGAGGCAAGCGUUAUCCGGAUUUACUGGGCGUAAAGCGCACGCAGGCGGCUGCGUAAGUCGGACGUGAAAGCUCCUGGCUGAACUGGGAGAGGUCGUUCGAAACUGCGCGGCUUGAGGUUGGAAGAGGAGAGCGGAAUUCCCGGUGUAGUGGUGGAAUGCGUAGAUAUCGGGAGGAACACCAGUGGCGAAAGCGGCUCUCUGGUCCACACCUGACGCUCAGGUGCGAAAGCGUGGGUAGCGAACGGGAUUAGAUACCCCGGUAGUCCACGCUGUAAACGAUGCGAACUGGGUGUUGGUAGUAUUAAACCUAUCAGUGCCGAAGCUAACGCGAUAAGUUCGCCGCCUGGGGACUACGGCCGCAAGGCUA